UUAGCCCUAAACAUAAAUAAUUCUACAACAAAACAAUUCGCCAGAGAACUACUAGCAAUAGCUUAAAACUCAAAGGACUUGGCGGUGCUUUAUAUCCCUCUAGAGGAGCCUGUUCUAUAAUCGAUAAACCCCGAUAAACCUCACCACCUUUCGCUAAUUCAGUCUAUAUACCGCCAUCUUCAGCAAACCCUUAAAAGGCAGAACAGUAAGCACAAUCAUUUUACAUAAAAAAGUUAGGUCAAGGUGUAACUUAUGAGGUGGGAAGAAAUGGGCUACAUUUUCUAUCCUAAGAACACUUCACGAAUGUUUUUAUGAAAUUAAAAACUGAAGGAGGAUUUAGUAGUAAAUUAAGAAUAGAGAGCUUAAUUGAAUAGGGCCAUGAAGCACGC
rnacentral:rRNA from 1 species